CCCGGGCUGCAGCAGACGGCCGAGGGGAGAGCCUGCUCCUGCACCGCAGCCCUCUGGGCACAGCUGUGGCCGCCACCGACCUGGGGAAGGGAAACCGAAAUGAUCGUCUGAAAUGAGGCUUCGCAUGUCUGCUACGAGCAUAGCGCCGAAUACAGCUACGCUGCUGUUAUCGUUCUUAUUCAUUCGAUGUGUGGGCUGGAUGAAUUCUGCUGAUCUGAAUGGUUAUAUCCUUUUAUGAUGUCUGUAGUGCUGACACAGGAGUGCACAAAAGGGAUGGCUUCCUAAUUGUUUGACAGAACCGGAAGCUCAUGGAAGAGGAUGUGGAAUGAUCAAAAUAAUGCUCUCCAGGUCUGUUUUUCCACAUCUUCAUAAGAAUAAGAUUUUCCCAACAGUCGAUGGUCAGCCCAAUGAUCAGCUGAAAUAUUUGAGUGACUCAAGAGAGAUAUUGAUAGUGACAUGUACUGUAUUGCCAUUUUCAUGGUCUGCUCACUGCUUCUAACAUAGGAGCUGAAAAUUGUCACUGGAAGACUAUUUCUGGACUUGAUCAACGGAAUGGUUAAGAUCCUCUCCUAAGAAGGUGGUCCUCUUGCUUGGUCAAAGGCUAUAAAAUGUGGAUAUUUCUCUUCUAGCAAGUAAAACUCGUUCUUCAUUUCCAUGGAGCUGAAUGAACAAAGAUCUGUCCACUUCUGUUUGAAUCAUCUCACCAAACAUUUGAUUCACCAGAUGACUUCCCCCACAGAAGUAGCCCACUGUUUUAUCAAAACUCAGAAGCAGAGUAACAGAAAUCAACAUUUGUUUUCCUGAAAAAAUGUCUUCUGUGCCAGCUCUUCAUACAGCUUUCUGCAUUCUGUUUUAAAAUGAAAAAUACUUUGUAAUCAGAUGCAAGUGGAAGCUGGUGUUUUUCACUGGUAUUUCCUUCUUAAUUUUAGGACAGUUAAAUACUUCUCUGUGUCAAAUUGGAAUUCCUAGCAGAUAAGGCAUCUGCAUGCAUUGCUGUGUCACACUGACCUGAUAUAUAUGACAAGUUGCAGGAGGAAAACCAGAAUGUUUUCUGCAAGAAACUUACCAAACAACUAGGGGUAUCUCAUACAGGUAUUUUCCAGUCCAGGUCCCAGGCUUGACUUUGUAGAUAGGCAUUAACUCACAUAAAGCAGCUAAUGCACAAGAACAAAUACAGAAUCACCUUGUCUAUACUGUGUAUCCCAAGCUGUGAUCAAAAUGUAUAUUUGCAUGUGUGAACCUCUGUAAGUGCGGGAUAUGAAGAGCUUUCACCUGAAGAAGAAAUUACUCUGCAUAAUUUCAUUUUUAGCAAAGAAAAAGGAAGCUUUGAAGGCCUCUGGGGUAACAUCAUAAUGACUAGGUUUGCAUUUAAUCAUUACCUUCCUCAGGCUUUUAAGGAAUCCUUAGCAUCAAAAGGAGCAAGACCAUUCCACAAGAGAAGAGAUGGGCAGAACAUCUUUCUUUAUUAUAGAAAUUAACUUUUGAUGGGAUGGAAGAGACCAGAGCUGUAAAGUUGCAGUUUAUCUACCUGGCUUCCUCGACACAAUUUCAGCUUUUCCUACUGCUGAUGAAAUCUUGUUUUUUGAUUCUUUCAUGACUGAGAGGACCUUUAUGUUUCCUCCAUCUAGGUAGAAAUAGGCCCAGGAAAAUGGAAUGUUAGCCACGUAAGAGGGGUGAGUUGAGAGCAGAAAUACUUAGUACAGUCCUUUUUCUGGCUCUUCUUAUUCCUUCCCAAACUAAGGCACAAUCUGGUUGUUCUCAUGUUUACACAAGAUUCUUUGUCUAUGUAAUUUGUGAUUAUAUAGGAUAUUUUCUGUCAUUCUGAGAUGGGAGCAUAUAUUGUUUACAUGCUCCCUGCUAUGGGAUUAUCUAUAACAAGUAAGAUUUUUGGCAAAAACCUACCAGAACUGGGAUAUGUAUUAUAUUCCACCUCAAAUCUGAAACUCUUUAGUGCACCUUAUUCCAAGCUUGUGAUUUAGAAAUGUGGCUUGCUAGCUUAAAGUACGGGAGAUACUAAAAUGGCUGGGGAAGUGUUUUAGAUUUCUUGUUCUGUUUUUCCUUUUAGAAAACUGCUAGAGAGAGCCAGACAGCCUGAAAAUGGCUGAAAAAGCAAACAAUUGAAAUCCUUCUUAAAUCUUGGUGAUUGAUUGCCAGGGCAGCAUUCUAGUAUCAGAAAUGUGGUGACAUUUUAUGGGACCAAGUUCCAUAGCAGAGUGAGGACAAGCGAUGAUGUUGAUUCAGUCCUCCGAGCAAUGUCUGUGUUUAGACUUGUUUUGUAACAGUAGGAUUUAAUGACAGCUUCACCCAUUUUGUGUUUCCAUGAAGCAAAGAGCAGACAUGUAAGCUUAAAAGUGGUGGGCAGGACGCAGUGUAUCAAAGUAAUGCCAAUUUAAUCAGCAGAGAGGUGCUCUAAAAUUGUGUGCAACAUUGUGGUGAGCUGUGUGAUAAGAGCUAACAUUGACCUUGAUGAGGCGACCGCCAGCUUGGCCUGACUUUGCUGAAUGUGGUCUGAACUUUCUGGCAUUGGAGGCAACUAGAAAAGCACACUUUGUUUUAGGGCCUCCUUAGGUUGAAGCCAAUAGGAUUUAAUGGAGAUGUCUGUAGAAGCAGGAUCCAUCUCUAAGUGGUGGAAAAUACUGUCAAUAUAGGAUUACAGUGGUUGGGAAGUAUGUGGUAUAAGAAAUGUCUGAUUUAGAUCUGGGAAUUUUCUUCCUUCUGCCCAUACUUACCCUUCUGAUGUUAGAGAUAGCAGUUGUUUCUUGCAUAGCUUGAUGACAAAAUAUUUGGGGGACAGGAAGGUAUUUUUUUUUUCUGUGGACAUGUACAAAAAUUGCAAAUUUGCCUGAUUAGAGAGCUGAUAAUCUAAGUUCCUUAAUAUUUUGUAACCUGGCAUUAUAACAAAAAGUAGAAUUACUGAUUUUUUUUCUUAACUCCUAUUCAUGACAGUGUAGCAGCAUUAGUUUUCGAGUUUAAUUUUAGAACAUCAGGGUUUUAUUAGGUUAAGGAUCUGUGGCUUUCACAGAAAUAAUACUCCUAUGGUGCAUGCCCAGAAGACCCCCAGUGCUGUACCUUCCUGGCCAGCACCUUUAAAGAGCUGCUGUGUAUGGAAAUGCUGCUUCAUCUGACUCACUUUUCCUUGCUCCGCUUUUUCGUUAUGUUGGUUGGAAAUCUUCCCAUGUGAAAGAUUACAAAAACAAGGGGCAUGUGCAAUAGCUCAUAUAUAUAUAUAUACAUAUAUAUAUUUUAAUACUUGUGGACAAAAUGAUGUUACAAGUUGUUUGAAAACAACAAAAUCACCAAUGUCUUCCAUUUUGAGAUGUGUAUAGUUCCAUAAGCAUUAGUGCUUUGUAGCAAACUGUAGUGCCAUGUUAGGACCAGUGCAUGAGCCUAGUAGUAUUUUUACAAUUUCUGAGUGACAAAUUUAUUAGUAAACAGUGAUGAUAAUGUGAUUAACACUAGAAAGGAUACAAUAGGAAUGUCACAAACAUGGUCUAAACAUGCAGUAUCCUCCCUUUGACAAUGGCAAUGCUAUCCUUAGAAAUGGAACUCAUUCACUUAAUGGGCUUCAUAGAAUCAUAGUUGACUUUUUGAUAUUUGUCUGUCUGUCCAACAACAGUAGUAAGCUAGAGUAUGCAAGUAUCCAUAAUUCUCAUCCCUAUCAGUCUGAUUCUUUUCUUUAAAUCUUUGUUGGUGUUUUCUUCCAUUUUCAAUUUUAUUGAACUGGCUAUUACCCAUCCUGUGGUAUACUCAAAAAGUAUGAAUAUGCUAAGGAGUUUGUGUGCAUUCUGUACACAUCUCUUACCUUCAGAUAAUUUACAAUGUCUGUUAAGUAAUCUUGUCUUUUUUCAGAUCUGACUCUAUGAUUAUAGCUAGCAAAACAUUAUCCUCAUUGUGUGAUAAGUUAAUAGUUGCAAAAUGUGAUGUGCUAAUUAUGCGUAGAAGACUUCUCUCCAUUAUUGCAGGAAUGGGGAACCUUUUUUGGCUGAAAUCCUAUUGAAUCUUAAAAUAACUUUGGUGGAUCCUGCAUUUACAUACAUCUUAAUAAGAGAGAAUGUGUUAAGGUCCAAGGCUGUUGGAAAAUGAUGUUGUAGACUGUAUCUCUGCAGCAGGCUGUCUCUAGCCAAUGAAUCAGAGAUUCCCCACCCCUGUAUUAUUGAGAAUUCAGUAUCUUGUAUUUUAGGUAACUUCCAGUUUUGCUUUGCAGCUCUAAGCUCAAUUUUAAUGAUUUCUGUCUCUCCCUCUGCUUUUUUCAGAAGGAAAGUUUAGACCAGGGAAGUAAAAUUGGCUUAGCACUCAAUGGGCAGCUUAGACUGGUCGAAUAGGAGACUGGUAUGAUUCUUGAGAUGUGCAUUGCUCUGUGGAUGGCAUCCUCUGAUUUCCUAGGAAUAAGUCUUUUAUUUGAUGCCAGUGCUGCUCUUCACCCAUUUCUCUCUUUCAGCUUAGAGAGGAUACUGCAUCUUUUUUUCCUGAGACCUGCCUGUAAAUGGCCAUGAGGGGGAGGGAGGGAAUGGGUAGCUUGGUUUUGUAAUUUUGGUACGAUAUAUCUUUAAAAUAAUUAAUCAAAAAGCAUGUACUUCCAUGCAAUGACAGUAAUCCAGGCAGAGUUCAUGUAUGUAACAGGGAAAAAAAAAAACCCCAACAAAACCAACCAAACAACCCUCUGCAUCUAAUAAAUUUCUGAGAAAAUUGGACAGGUGGGCCAUUUACAGCAGAGCUCUGGGGGACCUGUGCUAAGAGUCAGGUUCAAUUCUAAAUGGACGUAGCUGUACCAUUGAAUAAAGUAGUUUAGUGCUUGGGAGAAUCAAUUGAAAAAUACCUCUGAAACUGGAAUGCAAAAUAGCACAGUAUGUAGGGGGAAGAAUCCCUGAUGCAAACAAAGCCAUAAGAUGAUUUAAUAAGAAAAUAGAACUUUAGUAGCAAUAACUGUUUUGCAUGUGAUAUUAAAUAACUUGCAUUAGCAAGACUGUACAGUAGAGUAAGUGGGUAAUAACCAAAUAAGUUUGUGGCGCUCUGUGCUGCAGGGAGUUGUGUGAAGAGUCUUCCUGAGAAGAAGGGUGAAUUCUUCUUACGUUCCUCUCAUUGGAGGGAAUUUGGCACUUGAAUACUAAGUUAAUGAACGUGAUAUAGAUAUUAAAAAAAGAAAAAUUAGCUUUGCCACAUGUCUGAAGCACUGUCAGUGAGUGCUGGGGGAAGGGCAGACAGUUCUCUUUGAAAGGGUAGCUGAAAUUUCCCUGUAAUUUUUUUCUUUCUCUGUAGCCUAGCACUUGCUCUCUUUCUCUGAGAAAUGAAACUUUUCUAAGUACUGUACUGUGAAGAGGACCUGAUUCUAAAGUUAGAAGCUUUUGUGGUGAGAAGUACUUUUUGUUUUCUUUGUUUAUAAAGACCAAUCUGAGGUAGUCUUUAAAUAAAAAAAAAAAACACAAAACAAAACAUUAGAGAGCACUUGACACUCAAAACAUUUGUGCAUGCCAAGCACAACUGUAGAUUUCUAAAGAUGUUACAGCAGAAAAUAAUUUCAGCUUUGCUAAACACUGCUUCAGAUCAUAAUUGAUUUCAGCUGAUGCCUGAAGUUUUGCAGAGGAAAGUGCUGUGAAGCCUCUGGUAACACAAAAGGUUAUUGAUCUUCACCUGUAGAUCUGCAUCCAGAAAAUUCCUUGCUAUCAAAGGGUUGCAUAAAAGAGCCACAGGAGUUCUAAACUGUUCCUAGUUGACCCUUUUCAGUGUAGAUGCCUCAUCUAUGGACACAGUGUGGCCCACCCUACAGUAGUGUAUUCUGAACAGAAUCAGAGGUUUAGAUCAAUCUGACUGCAUUUCUUCUGGAAAGCUGAAGUAAUUUAGACUGUAACCUUCCAGCUUAGGGGAAGCUUCUUGUGUUUUUAAAGCAUGGGGGUGAAGCACUUUGGCUCUUCAUCAAUUGACAAUGGAACUGUGAGGGCUGUGAGCAUUUUUGCAGUAUAAAGUAACAGGAUAAGCAUGAGAAUGUCUAAAUUAAGUGUUGGCUAAUGUGUAAUAAGCUUAUGAAAACUAAUUGAUCUGAAAGAUUGUAAUCAGCUUAAAUUCCAACUAUUGAUUUUUUGAUAAAAUUGGAAGCUGGCCAUAGGGGAGCUUCAUUUGAUUGCUCUCUGAUUACAUUAGAGAAAUUACGUGGUCUGUGAUCAGCAAGUACAUUUACAUAAUAAUGAAAUUAUAAUUGUAACAAAGUCACAUUCAUACUUUGGAAGUAUGAACUUUGUGGCUGAACAGAAUUCUUCGAGGGUAUAUCCACUCAGAACAGGGGAGAGGAAAUAAAGACUGGUAGCCAGGCAAGCUAUCUACAUACACUUCCCAGUUCAGGCUUUUAAUAAUGACCUGAAUUCUGUGGGCUGCUAGACUAGGCAUUACUAUUCACACCAACAAAAGGAGUCCCUUUGCCUUUCAGCUCUUGUACUAUGGCAUGACUUUUGCUUCAACCUCCUUGAUUUAACAGCUUCUAAACCUAAGUGGAAGUGUCAGGUUCUACCACUCUUGGGUGUGGUAUAUCAAAAGGUAUAAUGACCAGUAUGGACAUGCCUCCUUUAGCAGUACUAAACCCAGAUGAUACAAAUAUAUUCUGUUUGUAUAUCCAGUAGUGCUGCUGCAGAAGGUCUAGCCAGUACUUGUGUUGGGAACCUUCUUAUACCUUCUGAAACUGAGGGUAUUUGUCAAAUUUAUGAGAAAAAAGGAAGUCUUGCAAAGACUUCUUGAUAGCAAGUGGGAAAAAAUUGUACUGAGCUUGAGGAUACUGACACUUUACAUGAGGAUUACAAUGUCAAGAGCUGGCAGUCUGGUUUUUUUUUGGGGGGCAGAAGAGGAAAAAAUGCUGAAGGUAGAACUAUUUUAGAUGUAUAAUGAAUCUUAGAAAUUACUGCUUCUUGCAUCCUUAGGAAACUGGCUGGUCUCCCUCCAAAACUAAUAAUCCUGCUUGCUGAUCAGGUACAGAGCUGCAGAAUGACAGUUCAAGUUAGAUUCCACUGGAUUUCUUUCAUGGAAUGAUCCAGCAUUUUGUCCCUGUAGCACUUUUACUGGCAUACAAAAGCCAACAGUUGAAUCAGGGUGUCUUGUUCAACAGUGCAGACACUAACCAUGGAUUCUGAAGUCUGUUCCCUUUCAGUCUCUACACUUCCUCCUGUGUUUUAGAGACAGUGUCAGUGUUCAUGAUGUCAGCAGAGCGUGUUUCUGUCUCUGAGCCUAUGUACCAGGUUAUAAUAUAGAUAAACUCCCAAGACUUUUACCCCAUCUAAAGUUAAAGAUAGAAGGUUACUUUCUGUUCAGUGUGUCCUAUGUAAAUCCUGUCUGCUUCUCUCCACUUCCCCUCCAAAUGAGUGUGUUUGCAGGUCAAAUGAAAGGCAGGUAGUUUGUAAUGCCUUAGGCAUGAAGAACUGCAUGGAGAAACUGAAGGAAAGUGGCACAGGCCCACAAACAAAUCUUAGAGCUAGUGUUCUAAUUAUGCAUGAUUCAAAAUGUCUAGUGUAGUGUAGUUAUUACCAGUAAACUGAGAUAUGCAUUUAUACAUAAUGAAGCAAUAGGAAUUAAUAUACCAAUAGCUUGAACUUCCUGCUUUGAUUCUCAAAUUUUGGGUUUUUUUUAGAGAAUGUGCUGCCUCUGUAGAGAAGGGGGCAGAAUGUAUAGAUAGGGACAGAAGCAUGGCACCAAAACUGUAAAUCAGGAACUGGGAUCAGCAGAACUCGCCUUUAUAACCUCUAGUCUGGUUCAUCUCACUGUCCUGAGCAUGUAAAAAGCAGGGCAUGAACUAAGCAUGUUUAGAGGCGAGAUGAGGUUUCUCACCUGCUGCAGCUGUAGCAAGGAAAAGGGUGCAGAGUUUCUUACACGGUGCAGGGGAGCUACUGGUGGGAAGGAAAAAAGCCAAACCCACAAAAAAAAUCACCCCAAAACCCAAGGCGACAAACGAGUAACAGAAACCACAGACUCAAAUUGAGUGUAGUAUUUGCCAGACAGCAGUAAGUAAUAGCUUGAGUGUGGUGAGAGAAAUUAUUUGGAGAAUACUGAAAUUAAUAAGCACAGUAGAUAUUUUUCAGGUGUUGAAUAGCUUUUUAAGAGACAGUAUUUUCAGGUAACUCUAGCCACAUAGGCAGCUGUACUGAAGCAUACUGAUACCAGCCAGCAAUAAUGGCAUCUGCAGGAAUGAACCUGAAAAUACUGGUAAUCUUGUAUAUUUUUUAAGUUCUUUAAAGAGAUUUUUAAAAACAGAAAAUUAGAUUUGAUCAGUGAAGGUCUUUAUCUUCUGCAACAGAGGUUGCAAUUGUCUUUUUUUCUUUAUUUUGCUUACUAGAUAAAAGGGAAUUUGGGUGCCAUCUUUCUGUAAACUCUUAGUGUGUUCUCUGUAAUUCAAGUCUCUUAGUGGAUAAUGCAGUUUCUGCUGGCAGUUUUAAAAUAAGAGAAUGUGUGGCAUAGCCUACAUCACUAAUACUUUUCCAAGUUUAAACUUGUAAUUAAAUAUGUAGAAUACUGGCUUGUAAUUGCAGAAUUCCAUUCUUGUAGCUUAGCUUAAUUUUGUAAGUGGGCUUAACUUGUGCAGAACACUUCUCCAUGUACAGAGGCUCAGUCCUCUCUCUUAAGUAGAAAGUGUCUUGGAGGAAAAAAAGGUGUGUCAAGUUAACUCCUGUUCAUACUUCAUAGCCAACCAUUCAUAAAGCACUGUGUUUUGGGUUUGGAUUGGGAAUUGUGGUUUUACCCAUAAAUGCUCUUUUUAAAUAUGUAAGGAUUGCCAAAAGAAGAUACAAAUUUUAUAAAAGAAGAUAACUAUUCCAUGGUAUCACAAGUUAGACUGAAUGAAAGUCUUUGAGCCAACUCCUUCAAGAAGCAAGAAAAUUUCUAACACAAAGUUAGCCCAGUGGUUAACCAUGGUCAUUCUUAAUUCUUUAGAACACUAUGCAUGGUUUUAAAGUCUGUUAAAUAUUGUGAUGAGUAAGCCAUUGUAUCCUUUGUAUUUCCCUUCAGUAUAACCUGGGGAAUAAGCUACUUCAGGAUAUCAGUGAAGUUAUUUUCCUUUUGAAAAACAUAACAGCAAAGGAGAAGUAUUAGGUGUAAAUUCCUAAAAAUUACCUUAGUACUUAAUAGGCUAAAGAAUACUUAUAUUGAAUUUCUGAUAGCAUUCUUGCAUGGAUUAGUGGAGGAAAUUAUUGGUGUGACUACAAACUAUGUACUCCCAUUGCACAUGUUUUACAUGGUAACAGUGAAAGAAUGUCUCCCUGCAAAUUCUGAUUUUUUCCAAAAGGCAGCUUGCUUUUAUAUCUAUGCAUCUUUGAGGAUUUCAAGAUAAGAUUUUAUUCUUUUGACACUGUAAAGAGGAACUGUUUAAAAAUGAACCUGGAAACUCUGCACCUGUAUACAAACUUUUUUAGCAAUAAAGCAGCACAGGCUGAGAAUGCACUAAAA